GCGCAGCAGGCGCGAAACCUCCGCAAUGCGCGAAAGCGUGACGGGGUCACCCCGAGUGCCAUCCGCUGAGGGUGGCUUUUGCCCGGUGUAACCAGCCGGGUGAAUAAGGGGAGGGCAAGUCUGGUGUCAGCCGCCGCGGUAAUACCAGCUCCUCGAGUGGUUGGGACGAUUAUUGGGUCUAAAGCGUCCGUAGCCGGCCGGAAAAGUUCUCCGUUAAAUCCAACGAUCCAAUCGUUGGGCUGCGGAGAAUACUCGCCGGCUUGGGGGCGGGGGAGGUCGGCGGUAGUCCCGGGGUAGGAGUGAAAUCCUCUGAUCCCGGGAGGACCUGCAGUGGCGAAGGCGGGUAGCCAGAACGCGCUCGACGGUGAGGGGCGAAAGCUGGGGGAGCGAACCGGAUUAGAUACCCGGGUAGUCC
rnacentral:rRNA from 1 species